AUUGAACGCUGGCGGCAGGCCUAACACAUGCAAGUCGAGCGGAUGAAGGGAGCUUGCUCCUGGAUUCAGCGGCGGACGGGUGAGUAAUGCCUAGGAAUCUGCCUGGUAGUGGGGGAUAACGUCCGGAAACGGGCGCUAAUACCGCAUACGUCCUGAGGGAGAAAGUGGGGGAUCUUCGGACCUCACGCUAUCAGAUGAGCCUAGGUCGGAUUAGCUAGUUGGUGGGGUAAAGGCCUACCAAGGCGACGAUCCGUAACUGGUCUGAGAGGAUGAUCAGUCACCCUGGAACUGAGACACGGUCCAGACUCCUACGGGAGGCAGCAGUGGGGAAUAUUGGACAAUGGGUGAAAGCCUGAUCCAGCCAUGCCGCGUGUGUGAAGAAGGUCUUCGGAUUGUAAAGCACUUUAAGUUGGGAGGAAGGGCAGUAAGUUAAUACCUUGCUGUUUUGACGUUACCAACAGAAUAAGCACCGGCUAACUUCGUG
rnacentral:rRNA from 1 species